rnacentral:rRNA from 1 species
CGGAGAGGGAGCAUGAGAAACGGCUACCACUUCUAAGGAAGGCAGCAGGCGCGCAAAUUACCCAAUCCUGACUCAGGGAGGUAGUGACAAGAAAUAACAAUAAACCGGCUUAUGCCGGUUUAAUUGGAAUGAGUACAAUUUAAACAUCUUAACGAGGAACAAUUGGAGAGCAAGUCUGGUGCCAGCAGCCGCGGUAAUUCCAGCUCCAAUAGCGUAUACUAAAGUUGUUGCAGUUAAAAAGCUCGUAGUUGGAUUUCUGCGGGGACGGAGCGGCCGGUCGCAACUUGCGACUCGAGCUAGCGCUUUCCCCGCAUCCUGCCGCGAACCGUGCUACCAUUAGCUUGGUGGCGCUGGGGGUCGGCUCGAUUACUUUGAGAAAAAUAGAGUGUUCAAAGCAGGCCACACGCCUUGAAUAAGUUAGCAUGGAAUAAUGACUAAGGACUUCGGUUCUAUUUUGUUGGUGUUCGGGACUGAAGUAAUGAUUGAUAGGGACAGUUGGGGCGGUCUGUAUUCCAAAGCGAGAGGUGAAAUUCUUAGACCUUCGGAAGACAAACAGCUGCGAAAGCGUUCCGCAAGGAUGUUCCCUUUGAUCAAGAACGAAAGUUGGGGGAUCGAAGACGAUCAGAUACCGUCGUAGUCUCAACUAUAAACUAUACCAGCUAGGGAUCGGUCAACGUUUAAUCAUUCGACUUGAUCGGCACCUUAUGAGAAAUCAAAGCAUCUGGGUUCCGGGGGGAGUAUGGUCGCAAGGCUGAAACUUAAAGGAAUUGACGGAAGGGCACCACCAGCCGUGGAGCCUGUGGCUUAAUUUGACUCAACACGGGAAAACUUACCAGGUCCAGACAUAGUAAGGAUUGACAGAUUGAUAGCUCUUUCUUGAUUCUGUGGGUGGUGGUGCAUGGCCGUUCUUAGUUGGUGGAGUGAUUUGUCUGGUUAAUUCCGUUAACGAACGAGACCCCAGCCUGCUAAAUAGCGCGGCUGAGCUUUGCUCGGUGCGGGCUUCUUAGAGGGACUAUGAUGCGCGAUAGCACAUGGAAGUUUGGGGCAAUAACAGGUCUGUGAUGCCCUUAGAUGUUCUGGGCCGCACACGGGCUACACUGGCGCCUGCAACGAGCAUAUCAGCUGGCCCGAGAGGGUCUUGGCUAAUCUUUUGAACCAGCGCCGUGCUUGGGAUUGACCAUUGCAAUUGUUGGUCAUGCAACGAGGAAUGCCUUGUAAACGCGAGUCAUCAGCUCGCAUUGAAUACGUCCCUGCCCUUUGUACACACCGCCCGUCGCUCCUACCGAUGAAUGUUCCGAUGAAAUUUUCGGAGAGCGCCAGAGAACGGGGCUCCGCCUUGCAGAUCUGGAGGCUCAAAGUCACUUAAAUCUGAACAUUUCGAGGAAGGAGAAGUCGUAACAAGGUAACC